rnacentral:rRNA from 1 species
UACGGGGGGGGCAAGCGUUGUUCGGAAUUACUGGGCGUAAAGGGCUCGUAGGUGGCCAACUAAGUCAGACGUGAAAUCCCUCGGCUUAACCGGGGAACUGCGUCUGAUACUGGAUGGCUUGAGUUUGGGAGAGGGACGCGGAAUUCCAGGUGUAGCGGUGAAAUGCGUAGAGAUGUGGAGGAACACCUGUGGCGAAGGCGCCUUGCUGGCCGAUUUCUGACGCUGAGGCGCGAAAGCGUGGGGAGCAAACAGG